GAUACUUCCAAGCAAGCAGGUGUUCUUUUCAGAAGCCAGAAGCUGAUAACCUGGGCUUUCUGAUCUAACCCCAGCCCAAAUUCAUUGCAAUGGAGGAAUUGGGGAGGAGAUUCUUCCUACUGAGAAGUGGGUGCCAACUCUCCCUUUCAAAUUUGUUCAUCAACAAACUAAAGGGGAUGCCAGAAAUGUCUGGAGCAAUGGAAGAACCACUGGAAUAAUGCUCCUGCCUGAUUGUAUCUACUUAACCCACUCUCCAAGAGCCAGAAUCAGAUUUCAACCGUAUGGAAUCAUCUACAAUGCAGCAGAUGGGUUUACAAGUCUCUUGGUCUCUUCAUGAAGAAGGCGCAGCAAUCGUGUCCCAAGUCCUUGAGGACUUCACAGGGUGUUCUAGUGUCCUGAGAAUAUACCUGCCUAAGGGCGUAUCUGUUAGGGAGACUCCCAUGAGGGAGGGGAGCCGAGGGAAGAGGCUGAGUGAGGUGAAGAGAGUGUGUUUGUCCCUCCAGCUGUGCCAGGGUCUUCUCAGCCCUUCUCACAGAGGGCUGUCUGUGGACCUCUGUUCCUGGAAUCACCCCUCUGCACCACCCAAACUCCCUGAUUAUGAAUUACACAAUACAUCCCUAAUUCAA
ensembl:lncRNA LINC02443 long intergenic non-protein coding RNA 2443